rnacentral:rRNA from 1 species
AAAGGAAUAGACGGGGGCCCGCACAAGCAGUGGAGUAUGUGGUUUAAUUCGAAGCAACGCGAAGAACCUUACCAGGGCUUGACAUAUGGGUGAAUAACAUGGAAACUUGUUAGUCCUUCGGGACACUUAUACAGGUGGUGCAUGGUUGUCGUCAGCUCGUGUCGUGAGAUGUUGGGUUAAGUCCCGCAACGAGCGCAACCCCUGUCUCUAGUUGCCAGCACGUAAUGGUGGGAACUCUAGAGAGACUGCCGGUGAGAAAUCGGAGGAAGGUGGGGACGACGUCAAAUCAUCAUGCCCUUUAUGUCCUGGGCAACACACGUACUACAAUGGUCGUAACAGAGAGAGACGAAACAGCAAUGUGGAGUAAAACUAGAAAAGCGACCUCAGUUCGGAUUGGAGUCUGAAAUUCGGCUCCAUGAAGUUGGAAUUGCUAGUAAUGGCAGGUCAGCAUACUGCCGUGAAUACGUUCCCGGGCCUUGUACACACCGCCCGU